GAUGAACGCUGGCGGCGUGCCUAACACAUGCAAGUCGAACGGAGCCUUAACCAAAGAAGCAGCCAGCUUGCUGGAAGCGGAAGAGGGAAAGGCUUAGUGGCGGACGGGUGAGUAACGCGUGGGUAACCUGGCCCAUACAGGGGGAUAACACUUAGAAAUAGGUGCUAAUACCGCAUAACAACAGAAAGCGCAUGCUUUUUGUUUGAAAACCAAGGUGGUAUGGGAUGGACCCGCGUCUGAUUAGCUGGUUGGCGGGGUAAAGGCCCACCAAGGCGACGAUCAGUAGCCGGCCUGAGAGGGUGGACGGCCACAUUGGGACUGAGACACGGCCCAAACUCCUACGGGAGGCAGCAGUGGGGAAUAUUGCACAAUGGGGGAAACCCUGAUGCAGCGACGCCGCGUGAGUGAAGAAGUAAUUCGUUAUGUAAAGCUCUAUCAGCAGGGAAGAAAAUGACGG
rnacentral:rRNA from 1 species